rnacentral:rRNA from 1 species
UACGUAGGGGGCAAGCGUUGUCCGGAUUUAUUGGGCGUAAAGAGCGUGUAGGCGGCCAGGUAGGUCUGCUGUGAAAACUCGAGGCUCAACCUCGAGCUGUCGGCGGAAACCAUCUGGCUAGAGUCCGGAAGAGGAGAGUGGAAUUCCUGGUGUAGCGGUGAAAUGCGCAGAUAUCAGGAAGAACACCUAUGGCGAAGGCAGCUCUCUGGGACGGUACUGACGCUGAGACGCGAAAGCGUGGGGAGCGAACAG